UUUGUAUACUACUAUUCUUGGCAGCAAAGCCAGUGUUAAGAGGUUAAUACUUCAGUUGCUAUCCCACUGUGCCGGUUACUGUGCUGCAGACAAAGCUGUUUGUAAGGCUGUUAUCAGGAAUAUGAGCAACAGUAAAAGAAAAAUUUUGGUUAGGUAUUUUAUUUUGCAGCGUUUUCAAGAGGAAAGAUCAGUUCACUCAUCUGGCUAAUCAUUUCCCCAAGAAAAUGCAAAUUUGUCCCCAAGAAAAUGCAAAUUUGAACAACAGUUUGGUCAUGCCUGGGUGUCUCAGUCUGGGAAGGCUGCUCUAGUCUCUUGUAUGGGACAGAGACCACCAUCAUCUCCAGAUACGCUGUGGAGUAAAUUCCUAUACUGCCAAGAAACAAAGAUACUGAACCUGCUCUGUCUGGAACUCCUGCACUGAGAUGAGUGAAUGUGGACAGUAAAUUCUGAGAAUGGGUCUUCUGCUGCUAGUGAAUUUUCCUGUCCAUGGACAGCUAUAAGUUUGAAUGAAAACUGAGAUCAUGCACCAGACAAUGCCUGUGAAGAGCUUUCCACAAAAUACAUGAAAAUCAACUGGCCAUUGUGAGACAAGCUGAUCAAGCUGUGCUUAUUUUGAUGAACAGAUGUAGUCUUAAGCAAAUUCAUUAAGUGAAUGAGAAGUACAACCUCUUGUUGACUCUGUAUUAAGCUGAAGCUCCACAGAAUGUUGACGUUUCAGUUUAAUGGAUGUGACAUUUGGAUGACAAAUACAAAGCAUGUCCUGUAGAUAGAGAUGUUACAUAAUGGCAGCAAAAUCAAACAUCAGUUUCUUGGUGUGAGAGGGAACAACAGUCACAGGCCUAAAAACUUUUUGUUGCUACUCCUCGCUUAGCUGGCAGAGGUGGGAGAAAAUGCAGAAGUGGUGGGAUAGAGGCCAUCUCACUGAUUUUUCUCCAAUCUUUGUAUUCCACUGCAUAUGAUUCCUUGGUUGUCGAUUAAGGCAGUUUCUAAUUGCCUUAUGUUUCCUGUAUAGAGUAGAAGGAGGUUCCUGAUGAUCUAAAUAUUGGCAUGAGAAGCCAACAUUUAACAUUAAAACGAGGAAGGAGGAGGUGGAAGUUUUCCUUUGUAUGAAGUUUCAGCUCUAAUUUGUAUUGUACUCAUCUUAUAUUUGGAAAGGGAAAAUGCAGGUGUGCCAGCCUUGUGCCAAAAGGCACAACUGAAAGCUCAAAGAAGUACGUUUCUACAUUUGAUAGCACAAGGAAAAAAAAAUCCAAACUUCAGCACUGUGCUGUAGACAACAAGGGGAACAAGACAGCUUAUCAGUAGCUGUCAAGAGUACUGAUAAGAGAGAUUUUCAUUUCUUCCCUUGAAUUCGUGAUGAGGCUGUGGGUGCCAUUCCUA
ensembl:lncRNA